rnacentral:lncRNA from 1 species
CGUAUUAAUCGAGGAAAGUAUCCCACAAAUUAAGGAAGCAAUUUUAAACCAAUACCAAACCAUAAGGAAAAUAUGUAGAAUCACAAUAUAAGGCAAAUAUCGCAGUCUCAAAGAGGGGUUGCAAGAAUCAGUAUAAAACCACCAUGUAAAUAAUCAGAGAACCCUAAGCGAAGAACACGGAAUAGCAGUGGAAUGAAACGCUAGCAACAAAAUUAAAGCAAAGAGCACGUGACUCAGAGAAGAACUCAGAAAAAC